CCAAAGAACAAGUCUAACUCCAGCGUUUCUCUUACCAUCAGCGCCAGCAGUCAGUCUGCUCCAUGAGCUCUGGAGAGCGACUUUGUCGCUAUCAGAAAGACCAAUGCUGGGUUGG
rnacentral:sRNA from 1 species